rnacentral:rRNA from 1 species
GAUGAACGCCGGCGGUGUGCCUAAUACAUGCAAGUCGUACGCACUGGCCCAACUGAUUAAUGGUGCUUGCACCUGAUUGACGAUGGAUCACCAGUGGGUGGCGGACGGGUGAGUAACACGUAGGUAACCUGCCCCGGAGCGGGGGAUAACAUUUGGAAACAGAUGCUAAUACCGCAUAACAACAAAAGCCACAUGGCUUUUGUUUGAAAGAUGGCUUUGGCUAUCACUCUGGGAUGGACCUGCGGUGCAUUGGCUAGUUGGUAAGGUAACGGCUUACCAAGGCGAUGAUGCAUAGCCGAGUUGAGAGACUGAUCGGCCACAAUGGAACUGAGACACGGUCCAUACUCCUACGGGAGGCAGCAGUAGGGAAUAUUGCACAAUGGGCGAAAGCCUGAUGCAGCAACGCCGCGUGAGGGAAGACGGUUUUCGGAUUGUAAACCUCUGUUUUCGGUGACGAACAAAUGACGGUAACCGAGUAGGAAGCCACGGCU